rnacentral:snRNA from 1 species
UACUUACUCCGUGAAUCGGAG